rnacentral:rRNA from 1 species
GAAUAUUGGACAAUGGGCGCAAGCCUGAUCCAGCCAUGCCGCGUGUGUGAAGAAGGCCUUCGGGUUGUAAAGCACUUUCAGCGGGGAGGAAGGGUGUUGUGUUAAUAGCACAGCAUCUUGACGUUACCCGCAGACGAAUCACCGGCCAACUCCGUGCCCGGCGCCGCGGUAAUACGGAGGGUGCAAGCGUUAAGCGGAAUUACUGGGCGUAAAGCGCACGUAGGCGGUAUGUUAAGUUGGAUGUGAAAGCCCCGGGCUCAACCUGGGAAUUGCAUUCAAAACUGGCAUGCUAGAGUAUGUGAGAGGGGGGUAGAAUUCCAAGUGUAGCGGUGAAAUGCGUAGAGAUUUGGAGGAAUACCAGUGGCGAAGGCGGCCCCCUGGCACAAUACUGACGCUCAGGUGCGAAAGCGUGGGGAGCAAACAGG